GGCUCUCCGUCACUUAGUAAAUGGAGAGUCGAACCUGCCCAGUGAAAUUUUUUAACGGCCGCGGUACUCUGACCGUGCAAAGGUAGCAUAAUCACUUGCCUUAUAAUUGAAGGCUAGUAUGAAUGGUUUGACGAGGGCAUAGCUGUCUCUCUCUUAAUAACUAAAACUUGACCUGCAGGUGAAGAGGCCUGCAAUGAACUGGAGGACGAGAAGACCCUGUCGAGCUUUAAAAGAGAAGUAGGCAAUAAUAUUCUUAUAGAUCUACAGCUAUUUCUAUUUUUUGGCUGGGGCGACCAAGGAACACAAAAAGCUUCCUCUAUUUAACAAACAAAUCUGUAGUUGAUCCAGCACUGCUGAUCAGAAGAAUUAGUUACCGCGGGGAUAACAGCAUGAUCCUUUUUGAGAGUUCCUAUCGAAAAAAGGGGUUAUGACCUCGAUGUUGGACUAGGAUAUCCCGAGGGUGCAGAAGCCUUCGAUGGUUGGUCUGUUCGACCAUUAAAAUCCUACG
rnacentral:rRNA from 1 species